AUACGGAGGAUGCAAGCGUUAUCCGGAUUUAUUGGGUUUAAAGGGAGCGCAGGCGGAGAUGCAAGCGUGACGUCAAAUUUCGGGGCUCAACCCCGUCUCGCGUCGCGAACUGCGUCCCUUGGUUGCGGGAAGGGGAGGCGGAACUCGUGGUGUAGCGGUGAAAUGCAUAGAUAUCACGAAGAACUCCGAUCGCGAAGGCAGCCUUCCGGCCCGUCAACGACGCUCAUGCUCGAAGGUGCGGGUAUCAAACAGGAUUAGAUACCCUGGUAGUCCGCACAGUAAACGAUGGACACCCGCGGUUUGGCCUGUAUGGCUGAGCCGCCAAGCGAAAGCGUUAAGUGUCCCACCUGGGGAGUACGCCGGCAACAGUGAAACUCAAAUGAAUUGACGGGG
rnacentral:rRNA from 1 species